UACGUAGGGUGCAAGCGUUAAUCGGAAUUACUGGGCGUAAAGCGUGCGCAGGCGGUUUUGUAAGUCAGAUGUGAAAUCCCCGGGCUUAACCUGGGAACUGCGUUUGAAACUACAAGGCUAGAGUGCGGCAGAGGGGGAUGGAAUUCCGCGUGUAGCAGUGAAAUGCGUAGAUAUGCGGAGGAACACCGAUGGCGAAGGCAAUCCCCUGGGCCUGCACUGACGCUCAUGCACGAAAGCGUGGGGAGCAAACAGG
rnacentral:rRNA from 1 species